AUACGGAGGACGCGAGCGUUAUCCGGAUUCAUUGGGUUUAAAGGGUGCGCAGGCGGCCGUGCAAGUCAGCGGUGAAAGCCCGGGGCUCAACCCCGGAAGUGCCGUUGAUACUGCGUGGCUGGCAUGCGGUCGAGGCGGGCGGAAAGGGGCGGGUAGCGGUGCAAUGCGGCGAUAUGCCACAGAACGCCGGUAGCGGAGGCUGCUCGCCAGGCCUGCAUAGACGCUCGGGCUCGAAAGCGUGGGGAUCGAACAGGAUUAGAUACCCGGGUAGUCCACGCCGUAAACGAUGGGCGCUCGUCGUCGGCGACAGACAGUCGGCGGCCAAGCGAAAGCGAUAAGCGCCCCACCUGGGGAGUACGGUCGCAAGGCUGAAACUCAAAUGAAUUGACGGGG
rnacentral:rRNA from 1 species